GGGCCCGUAGCUCAGUGGUCAGAGCGGUGGACUCAUAAUCCAACGGUCGCAGGUUCAAGUCCUGCCGGGCCCA
rnacentral:tRNA from 1 species